rnacentral:rRNA from 1 species
GAUGAACGCUGGCGGCGUGCCUAAUACAUGCAAGUCGAGCGAACAGACGAGGAGCUUGCUCCUCUGACGUUAGCGGCGGACGGGUGAGUAACACGUGGAUAACCUCCCUAUAAGACUGGGAUAACUUCGGGAAACCGGAGCUAAUACCGGAUAAUAUAUUGAACCGCAUGGUUCAAUAGUGAAAGACGGUUUUGCUGUCACUUAUAGAUGGAUCCGCGCCGCAUUAGCUAGUUGGUAAGGUAACGGCUUACCAAGGCGACGAUGCGUAGCCGACCUGAGAGGGUGAUCGGCCACACUGGAACUGAGACACGGUCCAGACUCCUACGGGAGGCAGCAGUAGGGAAUCUUCCGCAAUGGGCGAAAGCCUGACGGAGCAACGCCGCGUGAGUGAUGAAGGUCUUCGGAUCGUAAAACUCUGUUAUUAGGGAAGAACAAAUGUGUAAGUAACUAUGCACGUCUUGACGGUACCUAAUCAGAAAGCCACGGCUAACUACGU